rnacentral:rRNA from 1 species
UGGGGAAUAUUGGGCAAUGGGCGAAAGCCUGACCCAGCCACGCCGCGUGAGUGAUGAAGGCCUUCGGGUCGUAAAGCUCUGUGGGGAGGGACGAACAAGCUCCGGGCUAAUCACCGGGGACCUGACGGUACCUCCUUAGCAAGCACCGGCUAACCCUGUGCCAGCAGCCGCGGUAAUACAGGGGGUGCAAACGUUGCUCGGAAUCAUUGGGCGUAAAGCGCACGUAGGCGGUCUGUUAUGUCGGAUGUGAAAGCCCUUGGCUUAACCGAGGAAGUGCAUCCGAAACUGGCGAGCUAGAGUACUAAAGAGGAUCGCGGAAUUCCCGGUGUAGAGGUGAAAUUCGUAGAUAUCGGGAGGAACACCGGUGGCGAAGGCGGCGAUCUGGGUAGAUACUGACGCUGAGGUGCGAAAGCGUGGGGAGCAAACA